rnacentral:ribozyme from 14 species
AAACACAAAACAAAACAAAACAAAACAAAACUGAAGUGGCGUCUUUUGGGGAGAUUUUUUGGUUGGUUCAUCAUCUCUUUUUUUUUUUUGUU